GAACACCCGCAUGGUAAGGCGUAGCGAGCCACCAUUAGCGAGUCUUGGGUGUUAUCUGGUAACAGGUAAGGCUAAGCGUAGACAGUUAGGAAACAGGGUUGAAAUGCUAUUGAGCUCCGAAAUUUUACAAAGUCUCAGAGGCCGACGCAGUUUACCCAUGCGGAAGGCAACAUCACAGUAAGCGUUAGAGAAACGAUGCGAGUUUAUUGUGGCUCUGGCGGAGUCAGAGGGCC
rfam:Clostridium sp. D5 genomic scaffold supercont1.8, whole genome shotgun sequence.